rnacentral:rRNA from 1 species
CAGCCGCCGCGGGAAUACGAGGGGGGCAAGCGUUGUUCGGAAUUAUUGGGCGUAAAGGGCGCGUAGGCGGUUUGGCAAGUUUGGUGUGAAAUCUUCGGGCUCAACUCGAAGUCUGCAUCGAAAACUGCCGGGCUUGAGUAUGGGAGAGGUGAGUGGAAUUUCCGGUGUAGCGGUGAAAUGCGUAGAUAUCGGAAGGAACACCUGUGGCGAAAGCGGCUCACUGGACCAUGACUGACGCUGAGGCGCGAAAGCUAGGGGAGCAAACAGGAUUAGAUACCCCGGUAGUCCCUGUCUCUUAUAC